ensembl:lncRNA
CACACACACACACACACACACACACACACAGUGCGAGCAUAGUGAUAUUGUGAUUUAAACUCACAACCUUUCAGUCAGUCUCCCAGUGCCUUGGUCACUAAUCGACUAGUGCUAGGGAGUUGAUUGGAAUUAACCCUACAACUAGAGCUAAUUUGGGGUUUAAUUUUGCUGUAAAUCAAGCCAAAUAUGGCUGGGUUUAAGGAUAUAAGGGCCAGUUAUGGCAAACGCAUUGUUCAAUAGUAAGUAUCCAAACAAUCCAAACAGCUUUGGGAAUGGCACAAAUGGAACAAAUUCUAACAAUUUUGGACCCAGCUUUAAACAUGCUAGCUCAUGAAUGCUGUUAAGGUGGUGAUCUGGCAGCUAAAUUGGGAUAAAUUUAUCGGUUUCAUUCCUCAAGGAUUAUGUGGGCUAGAUAAAGUGGUAAGUAUGGACCAUUGGUGGCCCAUUACUCAUUUGCUAUUAGGAAAGACUUUGGGUUGUGGCACUCCUAGGAUUCCCCAGGAUUUUAACGAUGUCAUAUAUUGAAAGGUUUUCUUUCAAAUAGUUGCUGGCAUGCUAAAAGUGUAGCAUUAUUCAAUCCAAGUAAAAGUAUAAGGUGCUAAUCUGAUAUUGUGUGAUCCACUGUGUUGAUGAUGGCCAGUGUGCCGAGCAAUGGUAAUGAUUUACUGUUCACCGAUGGUGAUUCAGAUUAAGAAAAAUCGAUUUAAGUGGUUUAAGGAUAAUUUGGUCUCGAGACUCAAGUGGAACUCAAGUGAUGUCAUCCCCAAUAUCUGAACUAUCAGGACUGACAGGUUGAAAGUGUAUCACUCCAUCUACUGCAAACCCAUGAAUAAAAAUUUGAUUUGCUCAUAUGCAUUAGCAUGUGGAACAGAUAAUUGAAUGUGUUUAGGAUUUUAUUAUAGCGCUGAAGCAGAUACAUUGGUUCGCCAGACAUAAGCAGUUAACAGUGAGUUCUCGCAUAUAUCUGUCAGCAUGUGAACUGUUGCAAUCUUUCUGUCUCCUUCUCUUUCCCUCUCGCUCUCUCUCUCACUUUCUCAGGUACUGGAUGAUGUGCUGAGCGAUGAGCUCGGGGUCGUAGGUCACUGAGCGGCGUUUGCGGCUGCUCUUUGCAGGUGGAGGCAGAUCUGUGUCGAUGCGCUUCAUCCUCUGCAGGCCAGCAUGGGGAGACCGGUUGUUCUGACCAGCAAAAUCAUCGUGGUCUUGAUCACCCACUCGCUUCACCCGCAGGAGCGAGGCCUCGGCAUCAGGGGAGGCAAUGGGGUCGGAGUCCAGAGAGCGCCUAGCUCGUCUCGGAGGCGUAGCUCUGUCACGUCCGAUGCUGGCUGCUGCUGCCACUUCCCAUUUGCCUCGGCGGUUGGAUGGGUUCAGCUGGUUCUCAGAUACCAGAUUCGAGAGGACCUUCUCCACCAGGUACCUGGGUAAAGUACCGGGAGUGAGGAUGAGGACAUAAAUGUUGGUUACAAUGCAUACGUGAGGUAAAAGUUUUAAAUUAUGUCCAUUAACAGUUGAUGUUGAUGAUAGUCAGUAUGCUCAGCAACCAAUUUGUCCUUUGAGGAUAAAUAAUAUCGAAUACAGUAUUACUAUACAGUAUCGUUCCUUCUGCUGCUGCGGAUGAGCCAACAUACAGUCGAUACUGGCCUUUCCACAAAACAGGAUAAUCUCACCUGGAUACUGUAGACCUGUACUUAAGAACUGCUGCUGUAAUCAAAACACUGUCUUGUGCUCAACCCAGGUCUCUUAUUCACAAUCUGUUCAUACUGAAAAUUCCUUUAGCACACUAUGGACUGCUUGUUUCUAGAAUAUACAGUUGCAGAAGAAUAAUGAUUUAUAAUCCCACUAUUUAGUGUCGGACGCGUUCCCUUUUGAGUCUGGUUCCCCUCAAAGUUUCUUCCUCACGUCGUCUCAGAAGGUUUUUCCCUCAUCGCUGUCGCCUCUGGUUCGUUUAUUAGAGAUCCAAAUCUACCGGAGAUUUGUAAAGCUGCUUUGUUGAGAGUGCUACAUUAAUAAAAUUGAAUUGAAUUGAAUUAUAGCCCUCUUAUACUUAUUGAUGGAAGCUGAGGUAAUCACAGGUCCAAAGGGACUACUAUCCUGGCAGCGGGAUGAAAUCGCCAUCAUGUUUACAGCAUUGCUGCUUCUCAGGUCUUUGAUGGAGAGACAAGCCAUUUGUUUCCUGUCCAACUACAGACAUUGGCCUAACUAGCAAAUAGUCAUUUGGUCAUCAUUGUGUAGCAUUUUUUUCUUCUUUCAUACUCUCCCAUACAAACUGACUAGUUGGUGGAUUAUUCACUCUGUCAUUCGGUAUGUAGCUAAGCUUUUGUCUGCCAUCUCUGUUAGUUACAGCCAGUCAGAACAUCAUAUUUAGAACCACAAAGGUGUUUUCCCACUCUGGUAGGCUAUUUUCUGACUGCCUUGUUAUCUUCUGCAAAGAUAUAGGCAUGUCAUAAACAUACAGGUGUGGUUCAAGGCCAUAAUGUCUGGCUGAACAGUUUAAUUUAUGCUUUAUUGAUCCUUUUUACAACAGAAAAUGUCACAUUUCUUCCACUAGGACUCACUUUACAGCCAAAUCACCAACCAGUCAGUCGUGAGAUACAAACUACCGACUCUGAGUGUACCAAGAGAGAGACUUGGGAGCAUGCUGUUAUGGAAAAAUAAAUCAACAACAGGGUGAUGUGAUGCAGUCCGUUUAAUGUUAGGGUUAGACUGUGUGGAGUCUCCUCCAUGCAAGUGCCGGUGAACGAGCUGUUGCUAUAGAAACAAAAACGUAUUUGAAGAUUAAAAGAUGUUAAAAGGUAUUUUUCUCACCGGAGCACCUCCUGGUCUCGGUCCUGCCCUGCUUGAAGCAUCCUCUCCUGCCUGUAGCGGUUGAGCAGAGCCUCAGUGAGCUGUGGGUCCAGCAGUGCCUGGGGUUUCGCCAUGUUCACUGUCUGCUCUGUCUCGUCAUAGUCUGGAGGGUACGAUUCCUGGAAGUCACCUUCCACCUGCUCUUCCUCUUCCUCUGGUCUCGCUUGGCCGUUUUUCUCUGCCUCGCUCAGGAGGCGCAGUAGACCUGCCAGGUAGGCCGCUUCCUGCUCCUGCCUCUGGUCGUUCUCCAGGCGAUGCAGGGCGUGGCCCAACCCCUGUGCUCUCAAGGCCUCUGGCUGGUAGUACAGAUCGUUGCCCCGCCCACUGAAGCCAGCAGGAGGGUAUGACAUCAUCUGAGCCUCGUAAGGCAGUGCAUCACGCAGGUCACGACGAAGGCGUGCAGUUCCGCCCCCAUGCAUGGCAGAGAGAGGCUGACACAGAGAGAGAGAGAGAGAGAAGUUAAUAUUAAGAAGACUUAUAUAAAAGUGACUUGUAUAAAAUUCCCCUCUCACUUCACUCCAUGACCAGGCACAAAACCACACACUCUUCGUUAUAGUAAAAAUUCUCUUAGACAUUGCAUGAUGCUUAAGAGUCUGUGUGUAGAGAUUAGUACAGUUAGUGUAUACUUGCUUACAAAGCCUCUUUCUUCUUUAACCAAUAAUACACUAAUUAACUGCUAGUACACUAACCACUAAUUAACCAAUAAUACACUAAUUCACCACUAAUGCACUAAUUAGCCACUAAUUUACUAAUACACUAACUGCUAAUACAAAAAAUAAUUGCUAAUACAUUAAUUAACUAAUAAUAUGCUAAUUAACCAAUAAUAUACAAAUGUACCACUAAUUAACCACUAAUACACAAAUUUACCACU